rnacentral:lncRNA from 1 species
GCUAAUCUUUAUUUUACUAAUUUUUUUAAUAAUAUUCUGUGACUCGUGUUUUUAUAAGCACAAAAAUUAUAUCAGCACUGAAGUCAAAUCCUUCGCAACAGUACAAACACUGUCUUAGUUUCUAAUAAGUGUUUCAUUUUCUCUUGUCCAAAAGUGGGAGCAUCGGCACCAACAGCCUACUAAUUAAAUAGAAUUAUGCAUGCAAGCGAUUGAGACCGUCACUAAUAAAUGUUCUUCCUCAAAGUGGAAGCAAUCCCAUCCAAUUACUUUACAUCAGUUCUCAUUUGGUUUAUUAAUGAUUCUGUUGCGUGACGUGAUCCGGGUCAUCUGGACAUAAGCUCAAUUAAUUUAUUAAUGCAGUUUUCAUGUGCAUUAUACAUCUUCUUAUUGAGUUCUUUGUACAAUUUAAUACUAUUCUUAGAUAUGAAGUGAGUAUAUUUAUCAGAAUAAAAUAUUAGGAGUUAUCGUAACAAUUAAGGUAUUGUUUGAGAGAUUGAGGUUGAGCAAUUUUAACUUUGAAAGGUAUAACACUAAAGUGAUUGAUAAAUAAUAACUGUUGUAAUUUAAAAGAUAAGUCGAUUUGAUUUUAUACUCGUAUAAUAAAAAAAAAUUAUUAUAUUUCUACUAAUUUUGAAAAAUCUUUUAAGGUACAAUGUCUCAAUACCAAACAUGGAUGCAUGCUUACGUAGGCUCAUAAUUCAAUGGACGCAUACUUACGUAGGCUCAUAAUUCAGCCCACUAUCAUAUUGGGCCGUAGUUUCCCAACUGGGCUAAUAAUAUUUUGCAUUCUGCUUGAGCCUUUGGCCCAGUUAAUGGGCAUUUUGGGUGCCACGGAUGCGGAACAAUUUGAGUUUUACUGCCGAGUGCCCAUUCCUUUCUUUUUCUUUUACUUUUCUUUUUAUCUCUCUCUCUCUCUCUCUCUCUCUCUCUCUCUCUCUCUCUCUCUAUAUAUAUCAAAGAUCAAGUGGUUUUCAAAUAGUAUUUUUUUUUCUUUUUUGGGCCACCGAACUCGAGUUAUGGGAAAAAUAAAAAUUAAAAAAAUUAAUUUGAAUCUUGUCUACCUACCCUUUUUCUCUUCUAUAAGAUCAAAAUUGGCACUCUAUUUGCUCCCUAUAGAAAGAUCAAGUAGUUUUCAAAUAGUAUUUUUUCUUUUUUGGGCCACGAAUUCGAGUUAUGGGAAAAAUAGAAAUUAGAAAAAUUAAUUUGAAUCUUGUCUACCUACCUUUUGAAAAUAUAUACACACACACAAAUAGAUGAUAAAUCAUAUUUACUAUUGUUCUUAUAAUAAAUAAAUUUUUAUUGACAGAUAUUUCUCCUUGUGUCGGAGAAAAUCUUUUGAUUGUGCUAAUCAUUUCAUUCAUUAAACCUCGUUCCGACGAAUUUUUAAUUAUACCCUUUUAGAUUUGACAUGAUUAAUUCAUUUAACUCUCCUUGGUUAUUACUUAUUACUUCUAUUGCACGCGAAUGGGGCUAUGCUUGUCAAUUUUGGGUUUAUACAGUAAAAAAUAAAAUAAAAAAUUAUAUUAAGUGUUUAAUGCCAUGUUGUUGUUUAAGGCAUAUAAUGAUUGCUUUGCAAUUUUAAUCAACUUUUGUGAACGCAUAAUAAAUGAUUGCGCGUAAUUUUAUUAUAAACUUGAAAAAGAAGUUUUCAACUUUAGGGGUAAAAAAAAAAAAAAAAAAGAAAUAGAAGAAAAUGACUGUUAUUUGAUCCAUGACAAAGAUCUUGUGAUAAUAAUAGUGUCAUUUUGAAAGCUUUAAAAUGUCAUCUCUCGAAUUUUCCUUUAUUAAUUAAUUUUGGAAGAAAAAAACAAACUUGCUCUUCUAAUCAUAUUGAAGAGAACUCAAUUGCGUAUUGAACUUAAAAUCAAACCAAAUCCAAUUUUGUCGAACCCAAAUCCAGUCCUGGGGCCUGCAAUUAAUUAUUUGGAUGUGACGCAUGUGAAAGAUGGAAAACUCAAAUUAAAUCAUUGAGAUAAAUAGAUGGACAUAUACAUUAUACACAUAAAAUGAACCAAUAAAUGGAAAUGUAAAUGUAAACAAAGCACAUUUGCUAGCAAUGAUGAAGGCCAAACUAGUGAAUUUGAGAUUAUACUUUCUUUUUUUUUUUAAAUGAGAAUGAAUUUGAGAUUAUACUUGAUUCAUGAAUAUAUACGUUGAGAUAAAUUUUGUGACUAUUAACAUUAUUUAUUCAUAGUAGAAGUUUUGUUUUUUUGGGCCCCUUUCUCCACAUAUAAAGAAACUUAUAUAUAUAUAAAAUAAAAAUGAUAUCAUAGUUAGUUGUAUCAGUCAUUUUACUAUGAAUAACUUCACAUAUAGUCAUAUAUGAUGGUUGUUAUGUUGCAUAAUUGUGUAACGUUCACUAACCCAAAAGUCGUUACUAGUAACACAAAAGUAUAACCAAUAAAAACUAAUUGUGUGUUAAUGAUAGUAUUAUUAAUUCAAUUGCUCACGUCAUGAUGUGUUAUUAGUAGUACUUGUUGGGUUGAUGUAUGUUACAUAAUUAUUUAACUUAACAAGGUCUGUCAUAUAUUUAUAACGGCUCAUAAAUAAAAUAAAAAUUACUGAUUAACAUAUUUGUAUUAUUUAUAUCGUGUCAUUCAUCAUGACGUGAGCAAUCUCGAUCACUAAAUUAUUAGGAAAAAUGAUAUUCCCUCGAGUAGAACCCCAAAACUGAACCAUUUUUCAAGUUCUAGCUUUGUUGAGUUAAAAAAGAAAAGUGGAAUUUUGGGUUUGAGUAGGAAGAAUAUCGUUUGUCAAUUGUUACUAUUUGUGUGGAUAUGUGAUUUUAAUAACCCAAAAUAUGGAGACAUACAAGAGUAGAUAAGUCUAUGAUUAUAUAAAGUUUGCAAAACGAAAAGACUAAUAAGUCUAUGAUUUAAAAAUAUCAAAUUCUCUUGUCAUAAAUAAAUAAAUCCCAGAUAUUUAAAUUGCGCAAUUGACCAUCAAGGUUUCAUUAAUCAAUACAUGCAAUAAAGUCAAAGACCAAAACAAUUUUCCCAUCCAAGCAGGCGCAAUGUCGCCCUCAAACCAUGACAUCAACCAAUGAUAUUUUCCUGUAGUCAGUAAACUUUCCGGGAAAAAUCGUGAUGAAGGAAACCACCCACAAUGAAUCAAUGACAAAUUGCUAUUUGUAAUUAACGACGUGCCUAAAUAGCAUUGCUCUUAAUAUUUGAGUUCAAAUGCAUUAUAUUAAAUGCAAAGGACAAUAAAACUUCUAUAUAUUAAAUGUGAAAAAGAAGGCCAUUAUCUUUUAUAUACAUAUUUAUUUGAUAUAUAUUAUUUUAUUUACUGAACUGUACCCAUCUCUUUGAAUUCAAGUAUCAACUAAGUGGUGGUGGGGUUCACCAUUUGAUAUUGUUGUUUGUUUUGAUCAAUGAGAAAAAGGCACACCUGUUUCUUUUGCUUUCAUUUCCAGGCUUUGAAUGUAAUUGGGUGAGUGCAACAGCUAACUAACCCUUCACACUCGUCAACAUGAAACAAUAUCAAUGGAGAAAAUAUAUUAUCUUCUGAUAAAAAUAUCGGGGCUUGAUUGCGAAUAUAUUUGUUUUUAUUCUGCGGGCAUUUUGAAAGGGACGCUGCCCCCUUCAUUAUUUUUUUAUUUUAUUACAUGAUAUUAUUGUUCAGACUACAACUCAUAUUAUAUGCGAAUAUAACUGAUAUUUACAAAUCAGAUUAUGACUGAAACUAACUUACAUCAAUACUAAUAAAACUCUGUCUAAAUUUUAACCCUCUCAAAUAUUCAAGAAAUGUCUACUCCUUAUUUUUGACUGCCUUCACUCAAAUUUAAUUAAAAAAAAAAUAUUCCCACAUUACAUUGUGGGGAUUCGAACUGCUGCCCUCCAACUCUAGCCCUGACCACUCAGCCCCUUUCGUUAUUUUGGUUCUCACUUUAUGUUGCUUGGAUUCCCCAAGGCCUCAAGAAAUUUUAAUGUUAUUUAAAUUUCUAUUAGCCAAAUAAAUUUGAAAGUCAAAUCCAAUCGACCGGGUGGCUAGGGGGGAUGAAAGUGAUUUUCGAGGAGCUAAAGCCUAAAAGCCACUCACUGGGGCUAACCUUGAAUAAUGAAUUCUCACUUUACAAAAUCAUUAAUUUAUGUUCCACCAAAUAGCUAGCAGAAAGAUGAAUACCACAUACAGUAUAAAGAACAUCGACUUGAGGGAGACGGUGAAUAAAAUUUAAUUAUGCCUCAACAAAUUAAGAAAAAUGUCAAGAGUAAAAUGGGUAAAUGGGUCUUUUGCAUCAUCUAUUCAAUCAUUCAAUAAAAUUGUUUUCCUGUGCUAAAAGAUACUCUCUUCCAUCAAUUCUAACUAUUAUAACAUUAAUUUGUAAACAAUAUUUUAAAUUAAAUAGUAAAAAAUUGGACACAAACGUUCACAUAUACUCACCGACUGCCCUCAUGCAAUACAUCUCUAAACAUUCGAAGUCAAAAAAUAACUAAAAUAUUAACUCAUUCAACCUCAAUGUAGGAGGCUGAUACCGGUCAAAAGAGGCAAUAUUUAAAACCUAUUAUCUAUUCUUAUUCAAAAAGAAUUGAGUCUAAUGACACCCAAAAUCAUUUUAUGAAU